AUCUUUUAAUCGAGAUUUUGCCUCGGGUACAAUUGAGACAGGUGGUGCAUGGUUGUCGUCAGCUCGUGUCGUGAGAUGUUGGGUUAAGUCCCGCAACGAGCGCAACCCUUGUGUUUAGUUGCAAACAGGUCAAGCUGUGCACUCUAGACAGACUGCCGUGGACAACACGGAGGAAGUGGGGAUGACGUCAAAUCAUCAUGCCCCUUAUGAUCUGGGCUACACACGUGCUACAAUGGCCGGUACAACGGGCAGCGAAGGAGCGAUCCGGAGCGAAUCCUAAAAAGCCGGUCCCAGUUCGGAUUGCAGGCUGAAACUCGCCUACAUGAAGUUGGAGUUGCUAGUAAUCGCGAAUCAGAAUGUCGCGGUGAAUGCGUUCCCGGGUCUU
rnacentral:rRNA from 1 species